UACAGAGGUCCCGAGCGUUGUUCGGAUUCACUGGGCGUAAAGGGUGCGUAGGUGGCAAGGUAAGUUUGAUGUGAAAGCUCAGGGCUUAACCCUGAAAUGGCAUUGAAUACUACUGUGCUGGAGGUUUGGAGGGGGGACUGGAAUUCUUGGUGUAGCAGUGAAAUGCGUAGAUAUCAAGAGGAACACCAGUGGCGAAGGCGAGUCCCUGGACAACACCUGACACUGAGGCACGAAAGCCAGGGGAGCAAACGGG
rnacentral:rRNA from 1 species